CUGGACUGGGCUGGCCUGCUUCUUGUUGGGCUGCUCUGGGCUUGGUUUGGGCCUGCUUUGUUCUUUUUUGCUAUUCUGUUUCUUUUUGCUGUUUUGUUUUUUUUUUGGGGGCGUUUUGUUUUUUUUGGGGGCUGCUGGGUGUUGGAUCGGGUCGGAUCGGUGCGGGUCGGGUCGGGUCAACCCGACUGGGUUUAAAAAUAUAUAUUUUUUCUUUUUUUUUUCUUCCUUUCUUCUCUCUUUUCUCCUUUUUUCUUCCUUUUUUCCUUCCUCUUCGGGGCUGAACUCUAGCCCAACGCCGCCGCCAACGCCUCCUCCGUCCGGUGUUGCGGUGGCCGACACGACUCCCUUCUCCUCUCUUUCUCCCUUUCUUUCUUCUCUUCUUCCUUUUUGGUUGCUAUUUUUGCUUGCUGUUUUUGUUUCUUCUUUUUGUUUUUGCUUUGUGCUUUGCUUUGUAGGUGCAACGGUGGUUAGAAGAAUGCAAGGCACGGCGGUGGGCACGGUGGUGGUGAAGGCGGUGGUUGGGAGAGCGCGACGGUGGUGAGGGCCCUUUCGUUGCUCUUUUUUGUUUGAUUUUUUUGCUGCUGUUUUCUUAGUUUUCUUUCUUUCUUUUUGCAAAAAAAAGAACCCCCCCAUUCACUCUCCAUUUCUUCCCUUUUAAUCUCUCAAAUUUGUCUUCUUUCUAAUUGUUUUCAGGUGGUAGAGGAGCCAUCAUGGCCUAGGGAGGCUGCUGGAUUAGCCCGGCUGGGGAGGGGUAGGCUCGGCAGUUGCUUGCGGCGAUUUGACAAGUCCAGAAGGACUAAAUUGCAUGGGAUGCGAAGUUUCUGGGGUAAAAGUGUAAUUUUAGCAAAAUAUGGGCCAAAAUGUAAUUUCUUGAGAGUUUAGGGGUCAAGGUGCAAUUUUGAGAAAGUAUAAGGGUCGAAAUGUAAUUUUAGAAAGUUUUGGGGCCAAAAUGUAAAUUUUAGAAAAUUUUGGGGUCAAAAUGUAAAUUUUGAAAAGUAUAAGGGUUAAAAUGCAAAAAAUAAAAAAAAUUCUUUUUUUUUUUCAAACACGAAAUUAAUCCCGGACAAAAUUCAGUGAUUACAACUAUUAUUUACAGUAGAUUUUAUUUUUUUAUUUUUUUAUAAAUCAAAAUGCAGG
rnacentral:lncRNA from 1 species